UAGCCUAUGAAAGGACUGUGUCUUCUAUCUCUUGGAUUGCUCACUCUGGAGAAGCCAGCCAUCAUGCUGAAGGUCCAUGUGACAAGGGACAGAGGCCUGACAAAAUCCAUGUGAGUGAGCCUGCAAGAGGGUCCUCUGCAAGAUAAUCCUUCAGAUGACACCACAGACGUAGUUGACAACUGGACUGCAAUCUAAUAAAACACCUUGAGACAGAGGCACUCAGCUAAACCUAACCCUGAUUCCUGACACAUGGAAGCUGCAAAACAUGAACUACGGAGUCCCCAUCCAAGGCACUGAAUGAGAACAUCUGGAACACUCAAUAAAUAUUUCAUCAACAAAUAAA
rnacentral:lncRNA from 10 species